rnacentral:rRNA from 1 species
UACGUAGGGCGCAAGCGUUGUCCGGAAUCAUUGGGCGUAAAGAGCUCGUAGGCGGCCUGUUGCGUCCGCUGUGAAAUCCCGGGGCUUAACCCCGGGCGUGCAGUGGAUACGGGCUGGCUGGAGGCAGGCAGGGGAGAACGGAAUUCCCGGUGUAGCGGCGAAAUGCGCAGAUAUCGGGAGGAACACCGGUGGCGAAGGCGGUUCUCUGGGCCUGUACUGACGCUGAGGAGCGAAAGCGUGGGGAGCGAACAGG